GUGUUGGUGGUGUAGUGGUGAGCAUAGUUGCCUUCCAAGCAGUUGGCCAGGGUUGAAUCCCAAAUAACACA